rnacentral:rRNA from 1 species
UUCGCAAUGCCCGAAAGGGUGACGAUGCGACGCCGCGUGAGCGAAGAAGGCCCUAGGGUUGUAAAGCUCUGUCGAGGGUUAUGAAAUAUAGAUGGGUUAAUACCCCAUUUAUUUGACAAAAGCCCAAAAGGAAGCCACGGCUAACUCUGUGCCAGCAGCCGCGGUAAUACAGAGGUGGCGAGCGUUGUUCGGUAUUAUUGGGCGUAAAGAGCACGUAGGUGGUUUUGUAAGUCAGGUGUGAAAGCCUUCUGUUCAAAGGAAGAACGGCAUCUGAAACUGCAGAUCUUGAGUGUAGGAGGGGAGAGUGGAACUCCUGGUGGAGCGGUGAAAUGCGUAGAUAUCAGAAGGAACGUCGGCGGCGAAAGCGACUCUCUGGCCUAUUACUGACACUGAGUGUGCGAAAGUUAGGGGAGCAAACGGGAUUAGAUACCCCGGUAGUCCUAACCGUAAACGAUGGGCACUAAGUAGAGGGGUUUU